UACGGAGGGGGUUAGCGUUGUUCGGAAUUACUGGGCGUAAAGCGCACGUAGGCGGCUUUGUAAGUUAGAGGUGAAAGCCCAGGGCUUAACCCUGGAAUUGCCUUUAAGACUGCAUCGCUAGAAUCGUGGAGAGGGACGUGGAAUUCCGGGUGGAGCGGUGAAAUGCAUAGAGAUCCGGAAGAACACCGACGGCGAAGGCAGCGUCCUGGCCGAGCACUGACGCUCAGGCACGAAAGCGCGGGGAGCAAACAGG
rnacentral:rRNA from 1 species